rnacentral:rRNA from 1 species
CUACGGGCCGCUGCAGUCGAGAAUCUUCCGCAAUGGACGCAAGUCUGACGGAGCGAUGCCGCGUGAUGGAUGAAGUCCCUCUGGGAUGUAAACAUCUUUUAUAGGGGAAGAAAUUUUUGACGGUACCCUAUGAAUAAGAGGUUUCUAAUCUCGUGCCAGCAGAAGCGGUAAUACGAGAGCCUCAAGCGUUAUCCGGAAUUACUGGGCGUAAAGGGUGUGUAGGUGGUUUGAUUAGUCGUGUGUUAAAUAUCUUUGCUUAACAGAGAAAAUGCAUACGAAACGGUCAGACUUGAGUUUGUGAGAGGUGCGUGGAACUCAUGGUGUAGGGGUGAAAUCCGUUGAUAUCAUGGGGAACACCAAAAGCGAAGGCAGCGCACUGGCACAACACUGACACUGAAACACGAAAGCGUAGGUAGCGAAUGGGAUUAGAUACCCCGGUAGUC